GGAAAUGUGGCUCAGCGGUAGAGCACUUGACUAGCACUCAUGAGACCCUAGUUUGAUCCCUAGCAUUGUUU
rnacentral:tRNA from 1 species